CUCAUAUUCAAACUUUAAAUCCUGAAAUGUCCUUCCUCUAUCAGAUGACUUCUCUGCAUCUUCUAGGAUCUGUCUGGCAACACCUUCUGGUUCCUUUCUCUUUUGUGCUCCCAGUCACAUGUUCCCACAAAAAACACAGGGUCUUCUACACAUCAUCCAUAGGCACCUGAAACACAGCAGUGAGCAAACUCUAGUUCUAAUGAUCAAGAAUGUUUCUAGACAUUACCAAGCCCAGUGGGAUUAAUCAGCCCAACAGAAAUCCUGCUUUGGAGUGAUGUGGGAGAGGAGGCCCUCUGGCUCUCCUGACAAGAAAUCACAGGGCACAUGAUGGCGGGGACACCCUGUUCAAGGUCAACCUUAAAACUGGGUUUUGGUAGAGCAGGCUCUGGGGAGGAGACUGGUGGCAGACCUCACAUCUACAGGAUGCCCACCACGAGUGUUUUCAGUUUGUCUUUCAACAUGGCCCAUGCAUGAGCAAAGGUGCACAGCUGGCUUCUACCUCUUUUCCCAGCCUCUCUUGCAGUUAGGAGUGGCAUCAUAGCUAGUUCUCGUCAAGGAUAUUUAAGGAGAAAUCUGGAGGGUUCUUGGAAAGAUCUCCCUUUUCCAAUCAAAAGGGUCACAUACAGUGGACACUGUCCACCCUGUUUCCCCUUCCUACUUGAGUGUGGAUGUGAGCACUG
rnacentral:lncRNA from 1 species